rnacentral:rRNA from 1 species
UACGUAGGGGGCAAGCGUUGUCCGGAAUCACUGGGCGUAAAGCGCACGUAGGCGGACUCUUAAGUCAGGGGUGAAAUCCUGGAGCUCAACUCCAGAACUGCCUUUGAUACUGGGAGUCUUGAGUUCGGGAGAGGUGAGUGGAACUGCGAGUGUAGAGGUGAAAUUCGUAGAUAUUCGCAAGAACACCAGUGGCGAAGGCGGCUCACUGGCCCGAUACUGACGCUGAGGUGCGAAAGCGUGGGGAGCAAACAGG